rnacentral:rRNA from 1 species
UACGUAGGGUGCAAGCGUUGUCCGGAAUUAUUGGGCGUAAAGGGCUCGUAGGCGGUUUGUCGCGUCGGGAGUGAAAACUCAGGGCUUAACCCUGAGCCUGCUUCCGAUACGGGCAGACUAGAGGUAUGCAGGGGAGAAUGGAAUUCCUGGUGUAGCGGUGAAAUGCGCAGAUAUCAGGAGGAACACCGAUGGCGAAGGCAGGUCUCUGGGCCACUACUGACGCUGAGAAGCGAAAGCAUGGGGAGCGAACAGG